AGUGGGGAAUAUUGGACAAUGGGCGAAAGCCUGAUCCAGCAAUGCCGCGUGAGUGAUGAAGGCCUUAGGGUUGUAAAGCUCUUUUACCCGGGAUGAUAAUGACAGUACCGGGAGAAUAAGCUCCGGCUAACUCCGUGCCAGCAGCCGCGGUAAUACGGAGGGAGCUAGCGUUGUUCGGAAUUACUGGGCGUAAAGCGCACGUAGGCGGCUUUUUAAGUCAGGGGUGAAAUCCCGGGGCUCAACCCCGGAACUGCCCUUGAAACUGGAGAGCUAGAAUCUUGGAGAGGCGAGUGGAAUUCCGAGUGUAGAGGUGAAAUUCGUAGAUAUUCGGAAGAACACCAGUGGCGAAGGCGACUCGCUGGACAAGUAUUGACGCUGAGGUGCGAAAGCGUGGGGAGCAAA
rnacentral:rRNA from 1 species